GGCUAUCUGGUCGAUCCCCAAACGGCAGACGCUAUCAACUCGGUGCUGAAAUCGACCGCGUCGAUCCGGGCGAUUGCCAAUGUGGUGAAUGUCGAGGCAUCGGCCUAUGACGUGAUGAUCGACCACACCGAGCUGGGUGCGGGCUGGGCGGAUGAGACCACCGCGACCGCAGAGACCGGCACCCCGUCGGUGGAUCGCAUUUCCAUUCCGUUGCACGAGUUGUCGGCGAUGCCGAAAGCUUCGCAGCGCCUGCUGGAUGACAGUGCCUUUGACGUGGAAGGCUGGCUGGCGGGUCGUAUCGCCGACAAGUUUGCCCGCGCUGAGGCGGCUGCGUUCAUCACUGGCGAUGGUGUCGACAAGCCGACCGGCAUUCUGACCCACGCGACCGUUGCCAAUGCCAGCUGGAGCUGGGGCAAUCUUGGCUAUGUGGCCACCGGCGUUGAUGGCGGGUUUGACGAUGGUGAUGCGCUGAUUGACCUGGUUUAUGCGCUGGGGGCCCAGUACCGCGCCAACGGGUCUUUCGUGAUGAACUCGAAAACCGCAGGUGCGGUACGCAAGCUGAAGGAUGCCGAUGGCCGCUUCUUGUGGUCGGACGGUCUGGCGGCGGGUGAGCCGGCGCGUCUGCUGGGCUAUCCGGUGGUGAUUGCCGAGGAUAUGCCGGACAUCGCAUCGGACGCUACGGCGAUUGCCUUUGGUGAUUUUGCCAAGGGCUACACCGUGGCGGAACGUCCUGACCUGCGCGUGUUGCGUGACCCGUUCUCGGCAAAACCGCACGUGCUGUUCUAA
rnacentral:rRNA from 1 species